rnacentral:lncRNA from 1 species
GCCAUUCCACAGAGACAGAGGAACAUUCUAGUCCUUCCUUAUCCCCAUGUUCAGCCCAUAGCAACUCGUGUGUCCCAUGAGCAGAACUGGCUCAGUGGGCCCAUGGCUGCAUGCCCUGCCCCAUAGCAAUGCACUCGGGGGGUUGUGUCCAUAUAGAGCUGUGAGUGUUGGGGACACUCAGCCCUUUCAUUUAUCCCACCAGGCCACAUCCCUGACCCCACAGGAGGGAUGGCGCCCACAGGUGAGGGUCACCCCUUUUCUUUUGUUGAUCCCAUUCUUCCACUGUGUCCCUAUCACUACAUCCCCACCGCACACCAAUGUCCUCAUCACCAUAUUCCAUCAACUCCAAUGCUCUUCUCUGUAUCCCUCCACUCUGUACCCAGAGACCAACUCACAGCAGGACCACACAGUGACUGUGGUGGCAUCGGUGGCUGUCACCCUCCUUUUUUCUGCAGCCACCUAUUGGACUAUCAAGAAAGGUGCCUGCAGAGAGAGAUGCCAAAGGCAGCAGAAUGAUCCCAGCCAGCAGAUGGAAGCCACUGAGUACGGAGAAAUACAGUAUGCCACCAUUGCCCACGUUCAAGGGCACAAACAGAAAUAUGGCAGAUCAUGAGAUACGUUUUCCAGCCACGAAUCACACUCUCCUCUUCGACCUCCCCUUGUUGCGCAGAGCUGCAGCCCCUUCUUUGCAGCUGCCAGAACUCUGUGAUUCCUCCUCAGAAGCUCCAUAAAUGGUUCCAUCCCAAAAGCUGGAAGAACAUUUCUGAGUGCUUUUAAAGAGUCUGGAUAGGAAGAAUCUCUUUAACAACCACGAAGAAGAAAGAGGCUGUCCAGCAAGCGAUUGCUGCCCCAAACCUGCUCUUAUCUUUGCAAACUGUCUCCUGACUGCUACAGCAACGUGCAUGGAUCCUUCAGGUGUGCCUGGAGCCUCCUGGUGCAUAUUAGGAAACAAGAACCGAUUUAUUUCACGGUCAAUAGUAAAGAGUUGUAUUUAACCAUCUGCCCACCUCUUUGCUUUUGUGCUCAUUGGCUUUUGCCCUUAUGCAUCACACAGUGGAAACGUUCAUCUUUGCACCCAUGCAAUGUAGCUUUUUCACUGACCGACCUCAGCUCAGGUCACAGAGAUACUUAUACAUCCCCAUUAGAUGCAGGAGGCGUUGAGUGAGACCAGCCCUGAUGCACACAGCUAUGGAUAUUUCAGAUAUCCACGUCCCUGCACGGAAAAAUUUUGCUUUAAUAUUGAGGCAUUUGCAUUACACAUUGAAAUGGUUCGACUACCUCGAGGUUGUCCAAGAGAUAAGAAAACCCAAAGACCACACACAGCCCCUGAUAAACCAAAGCACAGCCUUCAGAUCCUACCGGGUAAUUAAACCCUAUGGGGAUGUGCAGCCCGCUGCUGGGUUUGCUUUCAUUUUCACUUUGUUCUGCUGCUUAAUGAAUAGCAGAAGUAGUGACGGAACAAAGCCAGUCUCUGCAACACAGAGACACAGGAGAUCUCCAUAGUCUUCCCAGCUGAAUCUGUUGUACUCCUAAUGGACGAAUGCAACCUGACAAUGCCCGUCUUUCCAUUGGAGCUGUGGCAGAAUCCUUGUGCUUGGGGCUCACAGUGGGUA